rnacentral:tRNA from 1 species
GGGGCUGUGGCUCUGUGACAGAGCAUCUGCUUGGCAUGCAAAAGGUCCUAGGUUCAAUUCCCCAGCAUUACCA